rnacentral:rRNA from 1 species
ACGUAGGGGGCGAGCGUUGUUCGGAAUUACUGGGUGUAAAGGGUGUGUAGGCGGCCCUUCAAGUCGGGUGUGAAAGUCCAAUGCUCAACGCUGGAAGUGCGCUGGAUACUGACGGGCUUGAGGGCAGGAGAGGUGAGCGGAAUUCCCGGUGUAGUGGUAAAAUGCGUAGAGAUCGGGAGGAACACCAGCGGCGCAGGCGGCUUACUGGACUGUUUCUGACGCUAAGAUGCGAAAGCGUGGGGAGCAAACAG